AGAACGAACGCUGGCGGCAUGCCUAAUACAUGCAAGUCGAACGAACACUUCGGUGUUAGUGGCGCACGGGUGCGUAACGCGUGGGAAUCUGCCCUUGGGUUCGGAAUAACAGUUGGAAACGACUGCUAAUACCGGAUGAUGACGAAAGUCCAAAGAUUUAUCGCCCAGGGAUGAGCCCGCGUAGGAUUAGCUAGUUGGUGAGGUAAAGGCUCACCAAGGCGACGAUCCUUAGCUGGUCUGAGAGGAUGAUCAGCCACACUGGGACUGAGACACGGCCCAGACUCCUACGGGAGGCAGCAGUAGGGAAUAUUGGACAAUGGGCGCAAGCCUGAUCCAGCAAUGCCGCGUGAGUGAUGAAGGCCUUAGGGUUGUAAAGCUCUUUUACCCGAGAUGAUAAUGACAGUAUCGGGAGAAUAAGCCCCGGCUAACUCCGUGCCAGCAGCCGC
rnacentral:rRNA from 1 species